UACGUAGGGUGCAAGCGUUGUCCGGAAUUAUUGGGCGUAAAGAGCUCGUAGGCGGUGUGUCGCGUCUGCUGUGAAAACUCAGGGCUCAACUCUGAGCUUGCAGUGGGUACGGGCACACUAGAGUGCUGUAGGGGAGACUGGAAUUCCUGGUGUAGCGGUGAAAUGCGCAGAUAUCAGGAGGAACACCGGUGGCGAAGGCGGGUCUCUGGGCCAUAACUGACGCUGAGGAGCGAAAGCAUGGGGGAGCGAACAGG
rnacentral:rRNA from 1 species